rnacentral:tRNA from 1 species
CACUAUGAAGCUUAGAGCGUUAACCUUUUAAGUUAAAGUUAGGAACACUAAAUUCCCAUAGUGA